AUACAUGCAGUCGAGCGAAGAGAUGGGAGCUUGCUCCCUGAUCUUAGCGGCGGACGGGUGAGUAACACGUGGGCAACCUGCCCUGCAGACUGGGAUAACUCCGGGAAACCGGAGCUAAUACCGGGUAAUACAUCGCACCGCAUGGUGCAAUGUUGAAAGUUGGCUUUCUGAGCUAACACUGCAGGAUGGGCCCGCGGCGCAUUAGCUAGUUGGUAAGGUAAUGGCUUACCAAGGCGACGAUGCGUAGCCGACCUGAGAGGGUGAUCGGCCACACUGGGACUGAGACACGGCCCAGACUCCUACGGGAGGCAGCAGUAGGGAAUCUUCCGCAAUGGACGAAAGUCUGACGGAGCAACGCCGCGUGAGUGACGAAGGCCUUCGGGUCGUAAAGCUCUGUUGUUAGGGAAGAACAAGUACCGUUCGAAUAGGGCGGUACCUUGACGGUACCUAACCAGAAAGCCACGGCUAACUACGUGCCAGCAGCCGCGGUAAUACGUAGGUGGCAAGCGUUGUCCGGAAUUAUUGGGCGUAAAGCGCGCGCAGGCGGUCUUUUAAGUCUGAUGUGAAAGCCCACGGCUCAACCGUGGAGGGUCAUUGGAAACUGGAGGACUUGAGUGCAGAAGAGGAGAGUGGAAUUCCACGUGUAGCGGUGAAAUGCGUAGAUAUGUGGAGGAACACCAGUGGCGAAGGCGGCUCUCUGGUCUGUAACUGACGCU
rnacentral:rRNA from 2 species